ACACGACUGUUGUUUAAUCACAGGAGGUGAACUUCUGAAAAUCUUGGAUGCUGGAUUGGAGGAAAAUAUCAUAUCGAAACAGAUGUAUGAAGCUCUCAUCAUUCAGGAACCAUCUAUUCCUACAUUAUAUUUGCUACCAAAAGUCCAUAAGAAUU